rnacentral:rRNA from 1 species
GACGAACGCUGGCGGCGCGCUUAACACAUGCAAGUCGAACGAUGAUGCCCUGCUUGCAGGGUGGAUUAGUGGCGAACGGGUGAGUAACACGUGGGUGAUCUGCCCCGCACUUCGGGAUAAGCCUGGGAAACUGGGUCUAAUACCGGAUACGACCCCCUGGUAGGUCAGGGGUGGAAAGAUUUAUCGGUGUGGGAUGAGCCUGCGGCCUAUCAGCUUGUUGGUGGGGUAAUGGCCUACCAAGGCGUCGACGGGUAGCCGGCCUGAGAGGGUGAUCGGCCACAUUGGGACUGAGACACGGCCCAG